rnacentral:rRNA from 1 species
AUGUCGACUGCAGGGAUAAUCAAAGUCUCCGUUGCUUGCCCCGUGUUUGAUGGAACUGAAUAUCCCUACUGGAAGAAUAAGAUGCGCAUGCAUCUUGAAGCCAUUGAUGUCGACCUCUGGUAUGUCGUCAAGAACGGCAUUCCCAAAACUGGUGAAGGUGUCACCCCUACUGAUGUCAAGAAGUUCAUUCAACUAGACUCAACUGCAAAGAACAUCAUCUGUGGUCAUCUAACAAAAGGACAGUAUGGCCGUGUGAGUGCUCUGGAAACGUCAAAGCUGGUCUGGGACUGGCUAUCCAAGGUCAACGAAGGCGUCUCAACUCAGAGAGAUCAAAGGAUCAGUGUUCUUCGCAACCUCUUCAACCGCUUCAAGAGAAACAACAAUGAAAAUGUCCAGCUCACAUUUGAUCGCCUCACUGACAUCACAAAUGAGCUUCAGGCUCUCGGCGCCACUGAGAUUACCAGGCAUGAAAUCGUCAAGACACUACUGAGAUCUCUUGAUAGCUCUUUUGACACCCUUGCCCUCAUGAUACAAGAACGCCCUGACUUCAAGACACUCGAUCCGUCUGAUAUACUUAAGAGGCUCAACACACAUGAGUUCCAGCUUUCUGAGAAAAGAGAUAUCUAUGGUCCUAACUAUGGCCAAACUCGCGCUUUGAAGGCAAAAGUUGUUUCCUCAUCUGAAGAAGAAUCUGACUGCGGUUCUGAUGAUCCUGAAGACAUUGGAAAGGAACUUGCUAUGCUUGUGAAGAAGUUCUAG